CCGGAGCAGCCAAUGCGGGGUCUACUCUAUAUUAUGUCUAUGGGGUGGCGGAGCGGAACCGGAAGAGGCUGCAACAACUGUGGAGGGCACUGGAGGGCCCGGUCAGAGAACCUGGUAAUCAGAUGAUCGCGCAGUUUCGCGCUUCGAAGGGGCGCAGGACACUGGACUAAUCCUGACGUCCUGGCCCCAAACAUGUCAGCGAGGCCCGGAUCCAGAGGGGUAACAGAGGGAAAACUCCGCUCCGUUAACCCUUCCACCCUGGUGAUAGCCACAUAAAUGGAGGCAGGCGUCCUCAGCUCCGCGGACUCAGCCGCUGCCUCAGUUAUGUAAGCCAUUACACACCGGAAACUGAGGCCAGAUUGGGUCUGGACGGCGACUCUAGGAGGAGCUAAACCGUCCUGCCAGGUCAUUCUAACUUGGCGGAGGAGGUUGGAGGACGGAAAGCCCCUUAGCGCUAGCCGGCUCCUUGAUCAAGCUAGGUAGCUCGAGGAGCGAGUCCACAGCUAGGAGCGGGGUUGAGUCGGACAUACGGAGCCCGGGGUUGACUGAGUAUCCGCUCAGCCGCCUACUUUCCACCGCGGUACUUCCUAGCUGGGAAGCAACAUCCGAAGCGCUGCUGCUCCUGCUGUCGUCCUCGUCGUUGUCGUCCUCUCUGCCAGUGGGAUUAUUCGAUAAACGCUCAGUGUAGCUAGCAUCUCCCAAGAGCAGCGACCGGACUAAGCUUUUUUCAGUGUUUCGCUGCACGCGAGGGAUAAACCGACUAGCGAUAGCCUGAAAGGGCGAAGCCUAUACAAAAUGGAACAACUCCCCACAAAGGCCUAAACCCCAGUUCCCACCAGACGAUCCUCCUUACUCUGCCAGGUUCUGCUGCCACGUCUCUCCCGCUGCUGAGAUCUGCUGUCAUCACUAUGUGGUCGUCUUUGUAGCUUUAUGUCUUUAUAUCUGGAGUUAAGGAUUCAGACUCAAGUAAACAGUUUUAUUGUGAUGCAUAUAUUUCCUAAGAUGUGACAUUUUGGUCAAAUACUUUUUAGGGAUCUUUUUUGCUUCUGCAGUGACAUCGCUAUUCACCUGCAGUGAAGAUGUUCAUUAAGAUCCACCUGUCCAUACAUUUCUGUAUCCACUAUCUCUCCUCCUUUCAUCCGCCCUCCACCAGGUAUCUGUAUUCAUGUAUUCCUGACUUUUUCAGUGCCAGAGCCGCAGUUCGUUUGAUCUCCACUGUAGCACCCGAGGGUCCCUGAACUCAACUCUUUGUUGUCUGACUCUUCCAACUGAGAUCACCGUCCCUCCACAAAGCCUCACCUCAUAUGUGUCAGCGUUGGUUCUGGACAGCAUGUUGGAUCUAUUAUUUAAACACGUCUACACAGCAGUGUGGCUGUAAAUAAUGAGCAUGUCUGAUGGACAGGUUGAGGGCUGAUGAUUAUACUGUACGUACCGAAGCAACCAGCUCACCUCCAUCUGCAGUGUCUCGGUAAACAGGACUCAACAAGCUUUGCUUUAAGCUCAGAUGUGACCAAAAAAAGAUUUGAUCAAAUCUCUUGUUUUGGGUCAAUGUGUUGGAGCAAGCAGUAAAAGAACAGUCAGUCAAAGGUCCAAAAUACAUUCGUUAUUUAAACCAACAAACAAACUUGGGUAAAUCAUACAAAAUUACAUUAUUGAGCCCAUAAAAUAGGUCAAAAUAACUGAAGUCCAGUCUUACAAACUGGCCUGCCUAAAUGAGACAAAAAGAAAACUUAAAUACUGACUGAUCAAAGUCACAAAAGGGGAAAACAAACAAAACCCUAAGAAAAUCUUGUCUCCAUGAUCCUAAGUUGACUCUAUCUGCAGGUUUCUCUACCUCUUUGUUCGCCUGAAGGGCUGCAGCAACUGGCACUGAGGUUAAGGUUUUCACAAAACAGAAAACUAAAUCAAGUCAAACAUGUAAAAGUGUAACUUUUAAUGUUACAGAGUUAUAUGAAGCUGUAAAUGGUCCCUUUGUAGACAACACAAAAGCCAGUUUACCAGCAAGCAUCAUGCCACAGAGAUGAAUUUGAGGAUUUAUUGAAGGAAUGGAAGGAAGAAGUGGAUGAGAUGAAUCAUCUGGCAAGAAACAUGAAUGGAGGUUUGGGUGAAGACUCAGCUAGAGGAUCUUGGAGAGGAAGGAGACGGAGACAACUAAAGUUACUUGGGUAGAUAAGCGACAACUUAUAGACACUUGAAGCAACGAGAAACAAGCAGCAGCUUGAAAGACGACAUGAAACUGAUGAUGCAGCGCUGAGUGAGAGACUGCAGCUCCUGAAGUCCUGAUGAGGCUGAUGGUUUCCAGCACAUUUCUGCAAUACUGUGAGCCAGAAGCUUGUCUGUUCGUUAGGUCAUCUGUGCUUAUUCAGACUGAUCGAUGUCUCCAGCUGCUCUUCUUCAAAAGGUGAUAUUCUGGGAUGGACCUCACAGACUUUAUUGCAAUUCUGGCCAACAAUACUGUUACUUAUUGAGAGAAACAGAACCACUGAUCUGAAUCCAAGUGGUGUUGCUCUGAAAUUUUCUCCAAUUAAUCAAAGAAUUAAAGCCCAAAUCCUACUGCUUGUGCAGCAUAUUAAGGAAAUAGUCGAUCACCCUCCCUGUUCUACUGACGCUGUACCUAAUGAGCAAGGAGAGAGGCCCCCCUCCAACACCUGCUCUCCUUUCCUCCUGUGGCUGUGAGGAAGGAGCAGCAGCUGAUCAACAGGAAGUCACUCAUUAUUGGUUGCAGAGAAAAGUUGCUUCUCUCAAAUCUGCCACUUGUCAGGAAAAUCACAGUAAUUAGUAAAGCAACAUUUUGACGGCUAACCAACUCAUUUUUACAUUUUCUCACUGUGGAGAUGCUGCUGCCUCUAAUGAUGACCCAAGUCUGACUGGAAAUAAGAAAACGUGUCAGGGCUCAUAAGCUAUGAAAUCUAAUUUGUGAUGGUAAAAUUCGUUCUGCAGUGUAAAGUUCAGCAUCAAAUCCUAAUAAAGUCAUAAUGAGACGGGUCCAGUGAACGGCGCCGAGCUCUGCUGAGUUUAACACAAACUUGACCUCUGAUUAUUUCUAAGGAGGUUCAUCUAAACUCAGUGAGCUGGAACUAAAUUUAGGAUCAGAAGCAACAACAAAUGCUUGGAAAAUAUGACCAAUUGUAUCAUUGGAUUAAUAACAAUGGAUCACCAAUGAAACAUCUGCUCUAUUUUUUUAUCCAUGCCUUAUUUUCAGCACUUCAAGUGUUGGGAUCCAGGGUGGUGUUUGUUUGGGUUUUGCUGCUUUCCCCCCUUUCUCCACCAGAGGGCGCCAAGGGGCCAUUCCUGGAGGGCGUGACCAGCGGGUGCCGGCUUACCUGCACACCUGCAAGUCAUUUGGUCAUCUGGAGGAGUAUAAGAGAUGGAAGCAGCCAACACUUCGGUGCCAGAGUGUUAGCCAGUUAUGGUGAAUCCUUGUGACGCUGUGGUUGUUUUCCGCCGGUAACCUGAGCCCUGGUUGUUUUCUGUGCAUUCAUCUCCUUGUGACGCUGUGGAUGUUGCCCACUGGUAGCCUGAGUCAAAUUACCUCCUUGCUGUUAACCAAACCUUCCUGGAUAUCUCUGUUGGCUGUCUCCUUCGCUCCUCUCCUCCGAAAGACAAAGAACUUACCUGUCUGCUCUCCAACGCUGUCCGUCCACCGGGCAAGCAGCAAACCUCCCUCUGUGAACUCCACCCUGGUAACCUCAGUAUUUCCCCCCAGACUCAGACCUCCUUCAACUCAAUGUUCCCGAAUCCAGUUGCCGUCAUCCCUUGGACCUGCAGUUUUGAUUGUUUUACUUUCAAUAAAUCAUUUU